AAUACUUAGGAAUCUGCCUAUUAGUGGGGGACAACAUUUCGAAAGGAAUGCUAAUACCGCAUACGCCCUACGGGGGAAAGCAGGGGCUCUUCGGACCUUGCGCUAAUAGAUGAGCCUAAGUCAGAUUAGCUAGUUGGUGGGGUAAAGGCCUACCAAGGCGACGAUCUGUAACGGGUCUGAGAGGAUGAUCCGUCACACUGGGACUGAGACACGGCCCAGACUCCUACGGGAGGCAGCAGUGGGGAAUAUUGGACAAUGGGGGCAACCCUGAUCCAGCCAUGCCGCGUGUGUGAAGAAGGCCUUUUGGUUGUAAAGCACUUUAAGCGAGGAGGAGGCUCCUGUAGAUAAUACCUACAGUGAGUGGACGUUACUCGCAGAAUAAGCACCGGCUAACUCUGUGCCAGCAGCCGCGGUAAUACAGAGGGUGCGAGCGUUAAUCGGAUUUACUGGGCGUAAAGCGUGCGUAGGUGGCCAAUUAAGUCAAAUGUGAAAUCCCUGAGCUUAACUUAGGAAUUGCAUUCGAUACUGGUUGGCUAGAGUAUGGGAGAGGAUGGUAGAAUUCCAGGUGUAGCGGUGAAAUGCGUAGAGAUCUGGAGG
rnacentral:rRNA from 1 species